rnacentral:misc_RNA from 1 species
GUGCAACCUCUGUAUUGCACAUCUUCCUGUGUGCUUUUAAAAGAUGCAUAUAAAGAUUUUUACUGUUUAUUUGGCAUGAAGUUGGCAUAAGUUUAGAUGUUUACCUUAGACUUUAUAUGUUUUUGCAACAUGGUCCUUGAACAAUAAUUUUAUGCAAUUAAGUAUUUGGACAGUAAAAAUUAUAAUUUAUCCCUUCUAGUUAUUGAAACUAAUCUUCAAUACAAAAAUUACAUGUGUCUCACUCCUAACUAACUUUUGGUGCCUUUGCUCUUAUCGUGAUCUAAUAUGUUUAGUUUUGAAAUAAGUUGGAUUUUGUUAGUUUGUAGAUUUUGUAAUUUUUUUCAUUUUUGAAAACUCAUAAUGCUUAUUUGGUAUUCAAUUUUUAAUUUUCACUUUCAAUGAUGUAAUAAUAUUUUUCUUUUUAGAGUUAGUUAUUAAUGACAUAUUAUAUUAGUGUAUGAUAAAUGUGGCUCUUUCUAAUUAAUUUGUAAUUUCAGUUGGGCCUAAAUAAGAUUCACUUUAUCUAGUAAUUCCUCAAUGGCAGAAUAUGUACAAUGUCAGCAUGGGUUUUAAUAUUUUUGUGCAUUUGCGUACAAAGUAAUUCCGCUUAAACUCUAAAUUAGAACUAAAAAGAAAUUUAUUUGAUGAAAAGGUGUAGAUUGUCACAAUUUUAUUGUUUGAGUGCUUAAUUU